GUGAGCAUCCGCCGCCUCCGCAGCUCAGUUCAGCUGGCGCCGAGCGUCUAGGGACCCCGGGGACCGGUGGGAGGCCGAGUGUGGGACUUUGGGCUCCAGUUCUGCCUAGUGCGGGUAUGGGGCGAGGAGUGCGUGCCGGGUCCCCUGCUCCAGAGGCGACCUGGGGAUUCUGGGGAACGUCUCUCCUGCGCUGCAUGGCCAGCAGGUGCCCCCAAAAGACAGCAGCUUAUGUCAGAACAGCAGGAACUGUAUAAGAGGCGCAAAUCUCUGACGAUAGGAAACCCAGGUAAUAUACAAUGAUGGGCUGUGCAUGGAGAAAACCAAAGGGAGUUUCAAAUAUGAGCCCCAAAUUAAAAUACCAUGACUGCAAAUCCAGGUUUGCCAGCUUACCGCUUCCAGUGUUGCAGCUUCAUGCAGCUUGCCCUCGGGUCAGCUGCAGGGAGCUUAUUCAAGGGGUCUGCACGAUCUUACUGAAGGCAGGUUAACAAUUUCCCCAAACAGUGCAGCACUGAAGGGAAAGGCGGGAGAGCUCAGAUGGUGACUGACAAACAGCUGGAGUUCCAGAGUCACAUCCACAGUCACGUGGAGGGGGCAGACGGAGCUUUCCUAUAAAAGAGAUGCUGCUUCCUCACCUUGCCAGAAUGAUACAGCCUGAAGUGAGAUAGGAACUCCUGUGAAGUUCAGACUUUGACCCAAUCUGGCAAAGCUUCUGAAGCUUAGGUCUUUAUCAUCUUUCAUCUGUUUCUGUUUACCAUCAUCUGAUGGAAUGCCCAUUAAUGUACUUUCUGGAUCCUACAGAGAUUAUAUCAAGAAUAUUGAACAUGUCUUUGAACAUAACUCUGUAAACUUGAACCUAACUUUGGAAAUUAGUUUCUAAUAAGGAAAUUCAUGUAAAGCUAGCAGUGUUGAUUUUCUCCUUCAGAUGCUUUUGUUCUUUUCCUUCCAGGGGGAAAACAUUCAUUGACUUUUCCCUCUCAUCCUUUAUCAGUUUUUUGAGGGGGGCCCCCCCCCCGCCGUGUCACAUAGCAUGUAGGAUCUUCAUUCCCAGAGCAGGGAUCGAACUUGAGCCCUCUACAGUCAAAGCACUGAGUCUUAACCCCUGGAUCACCAUGGAUCCACUCACCCUUUAUGUUUACGAAGUAGGAAAUGUAAAAGGGCAUGUAAAUACAUAUGUUAGAAAUAUCAGGAGGUCGGCAUCUCUACGUCAGCAGCACAGCCAAGUUCAUUUUCUGUUGGUUUCUUUUCAGUUUUCCUUUUUGUUUUGGUAAAGGAACGACAGCACUUUGCUUCCCCUUGUACUAUUUCCAAAGCCUCAGCAAGGAUCUUUGGUGAGAAAUUAGGCCUUCCGGGGAGAUGAGGGCCUAUAUGUAUUCAUCUUUGCAGAACCUUCCCUGGCCUAGGCAUGGGACCUCGUGUUUGAAGGACCCUGCACACUGGCCAUGCUCCAUCUGGAUGCAGAACAUUUGCCUUGCACCUCCUUAUGUGGGCCGUAUUUCCCCAGGAGACUGUUUUCCUCAUCUGUGUUCCUUUAUUUAUGCAGGUGUGAGCAGUACAAGUAGCUGUUGUGUAAGAGAACUAAUUAUUUUUCUAAGUAGGUACUAUUUCCUGCCAGCCUGUUUUUGCCUCAGCAGUCAAUGGAAACGGCUGUGUGUCCACAACGCAAGGACUGCUUUAGCUCCGUUGAUCACACGUAAGAACCCACGGAUUCCCCAGGAUUAUAUUAGUGGAACUCCAGAGGCCUCCCGUCUCCAGUCUGCUCCAGUCCUGCUUUGGGCCAUUUGCUGAGCUAGUCACAAAAGUUGUAUUUACAUAUUCUGUGAAAACAACAACAUAAAGCUUCAACUGAUUUUACAUCAAGCUUUGUACAUGUUCAGUCUAACUACCCUGAUAAUUCUGCAUAGCAGGAAUACUGUUAUCACAGUUUUAUAGUGGGGAGGGCUGGCCUCAAAUAUCAGGUCAUUACCCUGGAAUUCAAAUACCUCAGUCCCUUCAAAGCCUCUUUUGUACACCUUACUCCCUGCCUGAUA
ensembl:lncRNA